ACGGGUGAGUAACACGUGAGUAACCUGCCCUUGACUCUGGGAUAAGCCUGGGAAACCGGGUCUAAUACCGGAUACGACCUGUCACCGCAUGGUGGUGGGUGGAAAGAUUUUUUGGUUUUGGAUGGACUCGCGGCCUAUCAGCUUGUUGGUGAGGUAAUGGCUCACCAAGGCGACGACGGGUAGCCGGCCUGAGAGGGUGACCGGCCACACUGGGACUGAGACACGGCCCAGACUCCUACGGGAGGCAGCAGUGGGGAAUAUUGCACAAUGGGCGAAAGCCUGAUGCAGCGACGCCGCGUGAGGGAUGACGGCCUUCGGGUUGUAAACCUCUUUCAGCAGGGAAGAAGCGAAAGUGACGGUACCUGCAGAAGAAGCGCCGGCUAACUACGUGCCAGCAGCCGCGGUAAUACGUAGGGCGCAAGCGUUGUCCGGAAUUAUUGGGCGUAAAGAGCUCGUAGGCGGUUUGUCGCGUCUGCUGUGA
rnacentral:rRNA from 1 species